AUUGAACGCUGGCGGCAUGCUUUACACAUGCAAGUCGAACGGCAGCACGGGGGCAACCCUGGUGGCGAGUGGCGAACGGGUGAGUAAUAUAUCGGAACAUGUCCGGAAGUGGGGGAUAACGUAGCGAAAGUUACGCUAAUACCGCAUAUGCCCUGAGGGGGAAAGGAGGGGAUCGCAAGACCUUUCGCUUUCGGAGUGGCCGAUAUCGGAUUAGCUAGUAGGUGAGGUAAAGGCUCACCUAGGCGACGAUCCGUAGCUGGUCUGAGAGGACGACCAGCCACACUGGGACUGAGGCACGGCCCAGACUCCUACGGGAGGCAGCAGUGGGGAAUUUUGGACAAUGGGCGCAAGCCUGAUCCAGCCAUGCCGCGUGAGUGAAGAAGGCCUUCGGGUUGUAAAGCUCUUUCAGACGGAAAGAAAUCGCACUUAUUAAUACUAAGUGUGGAUGACGGUACCGUAAGAAGAAGCACCGGCUAACUACGUGCCAGCAGCCGCGGUAAUACGUAGGGUGCGAGCGUUAAUCGGAAUUACUGGGCGUAAAGCGUGCGCAGGCGGCUUUGUAAGACAGAUGUGAAAUCCCCGGGCUUAACCUGGGAACUGCAUUUGUGACUGCAAGGCUAGAGUGUAGCAGAGGGGGGUAGAAUUCCACGUGUAGCAGUGAAAUGCGUAGAGAUGUGGAGGAAUACCGAUGGCGAAGGCAGCCCCCUGGGCUAACACUGACGCUCAUGCACGAAAGCGUGGGGAGCAAACAGGAUUAGAUACCCUGGUAGUCCACGCCCUAAACGAUGUCAACUAGGUGUUGGGGAAGGAGACUUCUUUAGUACCGCAGCUAACGCGUGAAGUUGACCGCCUGGGGAGUACGGUCGCAAGAUUA
rnacentral:rRNA from 1 species